AUUGAACGCUGGCGGCGUGCUUAACACAUGCAAGUCGAUCGGUAACGCGGGGGCGACCCUGGCGACGAGAGGCGGACGGGUGAGGAACGCUUGGGAAUCUGCCUAUCAGCGGGGGACAACACGGGGAAACUCGUGCUAAUACCGCAUACGCUCUACGGAGGAAAGCCGGGGACCGCAAGGCCUGGCACUGAUAGAUGAGCCCAAGCCGGAUUAGCUAGUUGGCGGGGUAACGGCCCACCAAGGCGACGAUCCGUAGCUGGUCUGAGAGGACGGUCGGCCACACUGGGACUGAGACACGGCCCAGACUCCUACGGGAGGAAGCAGUGGGGAAUAUUGGACAAUGGGGGAAACCCUGAUCCAGCGACGCCGCGUGGGUGAAGAAGGCCUGCGGGUUGUAAAGCCCCUUCGGUAGGGACGAAAGCUCUCGACCUAACACGUCGGGAGGUUGACUUAACCUACAAAAGAAGCACCGGCUAACUCUGUGCCAGCCGCCGCCGUAACAC
rnacentral:rRNA from 1 species